AUAAUGACUCUCGGCAACGGAUAUCUCGGCUCUCGCAUCGAUGAAGAACGUAGCGAAAUGCGAUACUUGGUGUGAAUUGCAGAAUCCCGUGAACCAUCGAGUCUUUGAACGCAAGUUGCGCCCGAAGCCAUCAGGUUGAGGGCACGUCUGCUUGGGCGUCACGC
rnacentral:rRNA from 1 species